rnacentral:rRNA from 1 species
CGGCACUUGCGAUUGACAGGAACCCUGAGCAGCAACGCCGCGUGAGUGAUGACGGUCUUCGGAUUGUAAAGCUCUGUCUUUGGGGACGAUAAUGACGGUACCCAAGGAGGAAGCCACGGCUAACUACGUGCCAGCAGCCGCGGUAAUACA